CGGAUUGGCUUUGGGGAGCCGGCAACGGCAUCCUAUUGCUGAGAAGCUGAUCAAACUUGGUCAUUUAGAGGAAGUAAAAGUCGUAACAAGGUUUCCGUAGGUGAACCUGCGGAAGGAUCAUUAUUGAAUAAACCUGAUGGGUUGUUGCUGGCUUCGUAGAAGUAUGUGCACGCCUGUCAUCUUUAUCCAUCCACCUGUGCACCCUUUGUAGUCUUGGAGGUAACGAGCGCGAAGCAUCUCGGAGUAUCAUUCCUUGAUGCCAGUAGUGCAAGUUUCUCUGGGUCUAUGUCUUUCAUAUACCACGUAGAAUGUAACAGAAAGUCUUUAUUGGGCCUCAGUGCCUAUAAAACACAAUACAACUUUCAGCAACGGAUCUCUUGGCUCUCGCAUCGAUGAAGAACGCAGCGAAAUGCGAUAAGUAAUGUGAAUUGCAGAAUUCAGUGAAUCAUCGAAUCUUUGAACGCACCUUGCGCUCCUUGGUAUUCCGAGGAGCAUGCCUGUUUGAGUGUCAUUUAAUUCUCAAUCCCCACCUGUUUGUUAUGAACUGGUUUGGUGGAUUGGAUGUGGGGGUAUUGUUUGCGGGCCUCUUCAGAGGUCGGCUCCCCUGAAAAGCAUUAGCGGACCCGUUUGCGGACCCGUCACUGGUGUGAUAAUUAUCUACACUGUGAUGAUUGCUCUCUGAUUAGUUCAGCUGCUAAUCGUCCACUAAUGGACAACACUUAAUGAACUUCUUGACCUCAAAUCAGGUAGGACUACCCGCUGAACUUAAGCAUAUCAAUAAGCGGAGGAAAAGAAACUAACAAGGAUUCCCCUAGUAACUGCGAGUGAAGCGGGAAAAGCUCAAAUUUAAAAUCUGGCGGUCUCUGGCCGUCCGAGCUGUAAUCUAGAGAAGUGAUGCCCGCGCUGGACCGUGUACAGGUCUCCUGGAAUGGAG
rnacentral:rRNA from 1 species